GACGUAGGGCGCGAGCGUUGUCCGGAUUUACUGGGCGUAAAGGGCGCGUAGGCGGUCAGCACAAGUCAGUUGUGAAAUCUCCGGGCUUAACUCGGAAAGGUCAACUGAUACUGUGCGACUAGAGUGCAGAAGGGGCAACUGGAAUUCUUGGUGUAGCGGUGAAAUGCGUAGAUAUCAAGAGGAACACCUGCGGCGAAGGCGGGUUGCUGGGCUGACACUGACGCUGAAGCGCGAAAGCCAGGGGAGCGAACGGG
rnacentral:rRNA from 1 species